UCUCCCUCUUUAUCUCUGACCAUUCGCAUUCACACUCCAUAAGAACUCUAUUAUAUAUACUUGCAAAAAACCUCUGGCCGUGGUUGCACAAGUCUGCAACUUCUGAUGGCCAAUCGCUUGGGGAUGAACGGGGAAGAUCACCGGAUUGAAACUAGAGAUCAGAAUGAAUCUGGCUCAUCUCCAGAGAAGACUAUUGGGCCAAAGUCAUAUUCAUACGGUGAACUAGCAAGGGUAACCGGUCAUUUCUCGCUCAAUAAUCUAAUUGGUCGAGGUGGUUUUGGUCAUGUUUUCAAGGCAUUCUUAGAUGGUGAGAUUCGUGCUAUCAAAAGACUUGAUUUUCCAGAUGUACAGUCUGAAGGAGGUUUGGAGAGGGAGAUUAUGGUCGUCAAAAGCAUCAGUCACAAAAAUCUCGUUGAACUAGUUGGUUACUGCAUUGAUGGAGCCAAUAGGUUGCUUAUUUUAAACUAUUUUCCAAAUGGAUCCUUAAGAUCUAAAUUACACGGAAGUGGGGAUGUUUUGGAUUGGAAAAAAAGAAUGAAGAUCGCUAUAGCUUCUGCAAAAUGAUUGGAAUAUUUACAUGAACACUAUAACAGAUUUUGGACUUGCUCAAUUUUUUACCGACGGUGCUACUCACAUAUCCAAAUCAUCAGUUAUGGGAACCCAUGUACGAGCCUAAGCCAAAUCCCAAACCUUUUAUCUUUCAAGAAACUAAUAAUUAUGGCACACGAGAUCGUGGACAUGCCAGUCGACGAGCAACAAAAGCAACAAGUUAUGGUUCCUCCAACAUCAUUCCAGAAACUUCAUUUGAUGAGAUGGAUCGUUUUCCCAAACCCAUCGUCAUUAGGAGAAGAUGAAUAUGUUACAUUCAAUAAAAACCUUAAACCUUUCCCUUCUUAUUUUUCAUAGACCAGAGUUCUCCUUAUCAUUUUAAGCUUUUCUCUUUUUAUUAUUUUCUUUAAUGGAUAACUUAUUAUUUUAUUUUC